CAAUCGAAAGCCAUGAAAUCUUCUGUUUGUUGCUGCAUUUCUGGCUUUUCUGUUGUGUGUUACUGCUUUCACGUCUGCAAGGCAUGCAAGGCGGCCACAGACACAUCAUGGUAGACCAAACAAAAGAGAAGGGCUGGUGUCGGAACCGAGUUCGUACCGGGAAAGAAGCAGACCGAUGUUGAAGAGAAAGAGAGCAGACACACUACAGGUUGCGGGAUCAAGAUUGCCGGACUGCGCACAUGCAUGUGGAUCAUGCACGCCUUGCAGUUUAGUUAUAGUGAGCUUUGUAUGUGCAUCGCAGCAAGAGGCUGAAUCUUGUCCUAUGGCUUACAAGUGCAUGUGCAACAAGAAGACUUACCCGGUUCCAUGA